rnacentral:rRNA from 1 species
GAUGAACGCUAGCGGGAGGCUUAACACAUGCAAGUCGAGGGGCAGCACGAGGUAGCAAUACUUUGGUGGCGACCGGCGCACGGGUGAGUAACGCGUAUGUAACCUACCCUGUACAGGGGGAUAGCCCGGAGAAAUUCGGAUUCAUACCCCAUAAAGAUAUGGAGAGGCAUCUUUUCAUAUUUAAAGUUUCGACGGUACGGGAUGGGCAUGCGUAACAUUAGCUAGUUGGUAAGGUAACGGCUUACCAAGGCGACGAUGUUUAGGGGUCCUGAGAGGGUGAUCCCCCACACUGGUACUGAGACACGGACCAGACUCCUACGGGAGGCAGCAGUGAGGAAUAUUGGUCAAUGGGCGUAAGCCUGAACCAGCCAUCCCGCGUGAAGAAAGAAGGCGCUAUGCGUUGUAAACUUCUUUUCCAGGGGAAGAAAACCCCCGACGUGUCGGGGCUUGCCGGUACCCUGGGAAUAAGCAUCGGCUAACUCCGUGCCAGCCGCCGCCGUAACAC